rnacentral:misc_RNA from 1 species
AUAUUAUUUAAGUCUUAAGUACAUAAAACAUUGUUUACGGAAACUCAUUAUAUUUGUUCAAAAGUAACUAAAAACAAGCAAGCAAGACGUUCGCACGAGCGGCGUCACAAGGCGUACUAACCAAUUACGUAACACAAAAACAAUCGCAUGAUUCUGAUGGCCCCGCCCACUUUACGAUACUUAAGACCUUUCUUUAGAGGCCCAUAAAAAUGUCAUUCGCGAUAACGCUCCGGCCCGCGCAAUAACUGCCAUACAAAAUUCGUCGGACACUUCACGCGACGUCGCGUGAAGGGCCAAAUCAAGGAGUACUGGGAACACGCGACGUCGCGUGAUGGGCAAUGAACGUG